rnacentral:rRNA from 1 species
GGGUCGCAAGAUUGAAACUCAAAGGAAUUGACGGGGGCCCGCACAAGCGGUGGAGCAUGUGGUUUAAUUCGAUGCAACGCGAAGAACCUUACCCAGGCUUGAACUGCAGACGACAUCCUACGAAAGUAGGCUCCCCAAAGGGCGUCUGUAGAGGUGCUGCAUGGCUGUCGUCAGCUCGUGUCGUGAGAUGUUGGGUUAAGUCCCGCAACGAGCGCAACCCUUGUCUUCUGUUGCCAUCGGGUCAAGCCGGGCACUCUGAAGAGACUGCCGGUGACAAACCGGAGGAAGGUGGGGAUGACGUCAAGUCAGCAUGGCCUUUAUGUCUGGGGCCACACACGUGCUACAAUGGCCGGCACAAACCGUCGCGAUCCCGCGAGGGGGAGCUAAUCGGAGAAAGCCGGUCUCAGUUCGGAUUGUAGGCUGCAACUCGCCUGCAUGAAGCUGGAAUCGCUAGUAAUCGCGGAUCAGCACGCCGCGGUGAAUACGUUCCCGGGCCUUGUACACACCGCCCGUCACAUCACGAAAGCUGGCUGUACUAGAAGUCGUCGCGCGAACCCGCAAGGGAAGCAGACGCCUAAGGUAUGGUCAGUGAUUGGGGUG